GGCCCAGAGGCAAGCAAGAAGCCCUUAAAAGUUUGAGUAGAUGUCACAAAUAUGAUUAAGGCAUUAUGACUAACAGAUCAGGGCAGAAAGUAGAGAAUGGUAGCCACUGGACCAAUUCAUGAGGUCAGCUGCAUAAGACCAAUGUUGAAGACAAGUUAGGGAAGGGAAAAUUCUGCACCUGAAGGACAGGGAAAACAUCAACAUAACUUUAAAUGGAGUGGGGGGCGGGAAUCAAAGAUGAUGGUAAGGUUUUCUGCUGGGUUUACUGGGAGAAAUAUUUGUAUUCCUACAAAGCAUGUGGGACAGAGGAAUAAAAAUAAGGGAUUUGGUUUCAGACACAUUCAACAUGAGGUGGUAAAAAGCAUUUCAAAUGAAGGUUUCCAAGAGGCCGUCAGAACCAGGAUUCCUGAUUUGAAGCCAGCACAGCCUCAAGGAAAAAGCUGCAGCCAUGUGUCAGCACACAGGAAGGAGCCGAGGAAAGGGAGAGAAUAAAGGUACUGAGGAAGGAAGUACCGAAAGUCAGAAGAGAACAGGCACAUGGACACAGAGCAGAGGCAUGGAACGGAUGACAGUCUUGUCCCAUACGUGGAGAGAGGCAGAAAGUGUGCACACAGAAGCACUUAUGACGGCGUUACAGGAGGGUUGCAUGCAGGGACUGCAUUCUGGUAUCCACUAUCCAGUUACGACAUUAAAACAAAGCAAGAAAUGAAGCACCAGUGUUUUCCUUGGUACAGAAACCGCUAUUUCAGUAUUUUAAUUUGGGUUUGAGAUGCAAAUGAUUUACAUCUUGAGAGCAAAGUCAACACCUCAUAAUUGAAAAAAAAUUGCUGAAUAAAACUCAUCUUUACUCAAAAUUAGUUCCAAAUGAAAAAACUGGGGCGGGGGGAGGGGGGGAAGAGGAGUUCCCUCAUUUAAAAAGUACUCUUUUAUGCUUUCCUGAUCUUCAAGAGAAGAAAAUGACAAUGAAAACGGUAAUUCCUACUGAGUCCUACAGUUCAAAUGAACACGUGAGGGCGAGAACAUCAAAGCUUGAUGGGAAUCUCCAGCUACACGUGACAAAACCAGAGAAGAGAGGAAGACGCUUCCUGUGAAACCAAAUGUAGGCAGCUACCCAGAAAGAGACCAAUCUAGCAAGAACACAAAAAUAAAAUCGUUCAACAAAA